CACCGAACCUUCUUUGCCGUAUUAUACCGUCUGAGAAAAACCACAGAAUCGUAAAAACUUUCAACAACGGAUCUCUUGGUUCUGGCAUCGAUGAAGAACGCAGCGAACUGCGAUAAGUAAUGCGAAUUGCAGAAUUCAGCGAGCCAUCGAAUCUUUGAACGCACAUUGCGCCCGCCAGUAUUCUGGCGGGCAUGCCUGUCCGAGCGUCAUUUCCUCCCUCACGCGGCCUUUCGCGUGGUGUUGGGGCGAUCUGCGACCGGUCGCUGCAGCGAUGCGGCGUCCGGCGCAGCCCCUCAAAGCAAGUGGCGGGCCGGCAGCGGUCUCCGAGCGCAGUAAGCAUUUUUGCCUCUCGCCCUGGACGAUGCUGCCUGCGCCCUGCCCCCAAUGCAGACGCAAGUCUAUCUCAAAGGUUGACCUCGGAUCAGGUAGGAUUACCCGCUGAACUUAAGCAUAUCA
rnacentral:sRNA from 2 species